rnacentral:lncRNA from 1 species
UGAUUCUGUCAAUGGCUUGGGUAAGGAUCAAUAAUAUUUAUUGAAAGAAUACUACUUUAUACAUGUGAUGUUUAUGUUAUAUAUGAGGUUAUCUUCGUGUAUAGUGAAGAAGGUUGAUGAUUUGUACUACCUUUUUCUAUAACAACAGAUCAGGAUUUGAAGCCAAGUCUCAGAAUCAAGUGCAACUUCAACUGUAAGGUAACAAAUGAAAAAGAGAAUUGAUUUGUACUUACAAAUUACAUCUUUACCUUGAUCACAAUGCAGUGGUCCAACUGUGCUGCAGACUUGGCUUUGUUCAAGUUCUGAGACAAGCUGUUGUUGAACAGUGUUGAAGCUAAUGAGACUUGUGUCCUGCUUAUUGUCCUCCAGUGCAUGGGCCUUUUGCAGGCAAAGUGCCCCUACACUAUGGGAAACGUAAAAGUGUUUUUCUUAAACGCAGGUGGAAGAACAAGCAGUCACAUUGUCAGUCACAUCUGA